UUGGAUUGCGGGGGAUACUGUCUGGCUAGGGGGCGGGAGAGGCCGACGGUAUUUCCGGGGUAGGGGUGAAAUCCUAUAAUCCCGGAAGGACCACCAGUGGCGAAGCCGUCGGCUAGAACGCGCUCGACGGUGAGGGAUGAAAGCUGGGGGAGCGAACCGGAUUAGAUACCCGGGUAGUCCCAGCCGUAAACGAUGCAGGCUAGGUGUUAGGGCGGCCACGUGCCGCUCUAGUGCCGCAGGGAAGUUGUUAAGCCUGCCGCCUGGGGAGUACGGCUGCAAGGCUGAAACUUAAAGGAAUUGGCGGGGGAGCACCACAAGGCGUGAAGCUUGCGGUUUAAUUGGAGUCAACGCCGGAAAUCUCACCGGGGGCGACAGCAGAAUGAAAGCCAGAUUAAAGGUCUUGCCAGACGAGCUGAGAGGAGGUGCAUGGCCGUCGCCAGUUCGUGCCGUGAGGUGUCCUGUUAAGUCAGGCAACGAUCGAGACCCGCAUCCCCCGUUGCCACCAGCCAUGAGCUGGGCACACUGGGGAGACCGCCGCCGAUAAGGCGGAGGAAGGAGCGGGCCACGGCAGGUCAGUAUGCCCCGAACCUCCCGGGCCACACGCGAGCUGCAAUGGCAGGUACAAUGGGUUCCAACCUCGAAAGGGGAAGGCAAUCCCUAAAGCCUGCCGUAGUUGGGAUCGAGGGUUGAACUCACCCUCGUGAACAUGGAAUGCCUAGUAAUCGCGCGUCACUAGCG
rnacentral:rRNA from 1 species